AGUGAACGCUGGCGGUAGGCCUAACACAUGCAAGUCGAACGGCAGCACAGUAAGAGCUUGCUCUUACGGGUGGCGAGUGGCGGACGGGUGAGGAAUACAUCGGAAUCUACUUUUUCGUGGGGGAUAACGUAGGGAAACUUACGCUAAUACCGCAUACGACCUACGGGUGAAAGCAGGGGAUCUUCGGACCUUGCGCGAUUGAAUGAGCCGAUGUUGGAUUAGCUAGUUGGCGGGGUAAAGGCCAACCAAGGCGACGAUCCGUAGCUGGUCUGAGAGGAUGAUCAGCCACACUGGAACUGAGACACGGUCCAGACUCCUGCGGGAGGCAGCAGUGGGGAAUAUUGGACAAAGGGCGCAAGCCUUAUCCAGCCAUACCGCGUGGGUGAAGGAGGCCUUCGGGUUGUAAAGCCCUUUUGUUGGGAAAGAAAAGCAGCAGGUUAAUACCCCGCUGUUCUGACGGUACCCAAAGAAUAAGCACCGGCUAACUUCGUG
rnacentral:rRNA from 1 species